rnacentral:rRNA from 1 species
UACAGAGGUGGCAAGCGUUGUUCGGAAUUACUGGGCGUAAAGGGCGCGUAGGCGGCCUUCUAAGUCAGACGUGAAAUCCCCCGGCUUAACCUGGGAACUGCGUCUGAUACUGGGAGGCUUGAGUAUGGGAGAGGGAUGUAGAAUUCCAGGUGUAGCGGUGAAAUGCGUAGAUAUCUGGAGGAAUACCGGUGGCGAAGGCGGCAUCCUGGACCAUAACUGACGCUGAGACGCGAAAGCGUGGGGAGCAAACAGG